rnacentral:rRNA from 1 species
GGGGAAUAUUGGACAAUGGGCGAAAGCCUGAUCCAGCCAUGCCGCGUGAGUGAUGAAGGCCCUAGGGUUGUAAAGCUCUUUCAACGGUGAAGAUAAUGACGGUAACCGUAGAAGAAGCCCCGGCUAACUUCGUGCCAGCAGCCGCGGUAAUACGAAGGGGGCUAGCGUUGUUCGGAAUUACUGGGCGUAAAGCGCACGUAGGCGGAUUGGCAAGUUAGGGGUGAAAUCCCGGGGCUCAACCCCGGAACUGCCUUUAAAACUGCCGGUCUAGAGUUCGAGAGAGGUGAGUGGAAUUCCGAGUGUAGAGGUGAAAUUCGUAGAUAUUCGGAGGAACACCAGUGGCGAAGGCGGCUCACUGGCUCGAUACUGACGCUGAGGUGCGAAAGCGUGGGGAGCAAAC